UACAGGGGGUGCAAACGUUGCUCGGAAUUAUUGGGCGUAAAGCGCGCGUAGGCGGUUGCUUAAGUCGGAUGUGAAAGCCCUUGGCUUAACCGAGGAAGUGCACCCGAAACUGAGCAGCUUGAGUAUGACAGAGGGUCGCGGAAUUCCCGGUGUAGAGGUGAAAUUCGUAGAUAUCGGGAGGAACACCGGUGGCGAAGGCGGCGGCCUGGGUCAAAACUGACGCUGAGGCGCGAAAGCGUGGGGAGCAAACAGG
rnacentral:rRNA from 1 species